rnacentral:rRNA from 1 species
UCGGGAAUAUUGCGCAAUGGAGGAAACUCUGACGCAGUGACGCCGCGUAUAGGAAGAAGGUUUUCGGACUGUAAACUAUUGUCGUUAGGGAAGAAAAAAUGACAGUACCUAAGGAGGAAGCUCCGGCUAACUACGUGCCAGCAGCCGCGGUAAUACGUAGGGAGCAAGCGUUAUCCGGAUUUAUUGGGUGUAAAGGGUGCGUAGACGGGCGAUCAAGUUAGUUGUGAAAUCCCUCGGCUCAACUGAGGAACUGCAACUAAAACUGGUUGUCUUGAGUGCAGGAGAGGUAAGUGGAAUUCCUAGUGUAGCGGUGAAAUGCGUAGAUAUUAGGAGGAACACCAGUGGCGAAGGCGACUUACUGGACUGUAACUGACGUUGAGGCACGAAAGUGUGGGGAGCAAACAGGAUUAGAUACC